CCAACCUAUUUAACAGAGUGCCAUUUUAAUUAAGGCAUCCAAAUUUAUACAGACUAACAGUCUGGAAGGCGGUAAAAAUUAGGAUAAAUUCAUAAUAAAAGCAGUAAAAACAUGGACAACCAGUAGCCUUUUUAAAAAUAACAGCUCUUAAGACAAUCUUACAUCUAUGAUGUUUGAGCAAAACUGUCACAGCUAUAUUAGGUUGUUUUGCUAAUUUCAAAUUAGAAGGUCAAAAUAGAAUGACACCAAAAAGAAUCUUACUUUCUUCAAGGAAGCAGAAAGACUCCUGAAAUAAAUUAUGCUAGAAUCCUUCUAGCAUUGCAAUGAUUUUUUGAAAUCCACAGCUUAUAGAGUAACGCAAUCCACGUGUCUUUAGUACAAAGAUUGAAUCUGGUUUCUCUUUGCUAAGAUGACUUUCAAGAUAACGAUAGAGAUUUUUGAAUAAUACAGUUUUGCGUACAUCAAUUUCAUGUUGAAGCUUUAACUUUUGAUUGUUAACUGAAUGAGAUCUGCAGCAGUAUUUGCUGUGAGGGAAAAGAUGUAAAAUACAAUCUUUCCUAAUUACUUCUAAUUUAUUUAGAUAGGAUGGAAAACUUCACCACUUGCUUUAAUUUAAAAACGUCACUACUCAUCUAUACUAACAGCAUCUCUCUUUGGUACCAGAGGUGGCAGUAGCAAAUUGUAAGGACCAACUUGUUCUCUGAAUACAAACGAAGGCCAGUACUGGCAUACAGACAACAGUAGCAGCAAUAAAGUAACAGGCCAUACUUGAUACUGAGGAACAUCUCCCAUCACUUAAAGGAGUUAAAGCUGCCAUGCAAAGGUAGGAGGAGGUCGCAGUAUUAAAACAGAGCUGAACAGCAUCAUCCCUACUGCCAGACAGCGUAGGAGUGCUUUCAUCACGUUUGUCAGCGCUCUGCUCAGAAAAGCAUUUCUCACAGUUGUGAUACUUGGGGCAUAUUCUUCCUGGAGGAAAAAGUAGGGGCAUGUGGGAAACCUCCUAACCUCGCCUGGAACAGCUGGAGAGCAGAUUCAGGAGUAGCUCUUGGGCCUGUCACAAAGCACAUCCCACCCCCAGGAUUCCUACAGCCACUCUGUGAGGCUCCAGAAGAGGUGGCUUAGCAGGACUAGAGGCUGGUGCUGCUUGCACCGUUGCUCUCCUCCACUCCGCCUGCACACCAGCAAGCUGCAGACUACUCCAGGGAUUGCUGCCUUAGAAACCAAGUGGGAUACAAACUCAUAGGAUACACAAGUUUAGAAGACAAAAAUUAAACAAAGAAACAGAAAAACAACACACUCCCAUGCUAUCCUUUCAGUUGUACAUAAGCAAUCUGGACAUCAUUUGUGUGUUCCUCUGUCAAUGCCAUUGCCUUAUCUUAUCUAAAUACAGAAUUUUUU